rnacentral:rRNA from 1 species
AGAGUUCGAUUAUGGCUCAGGAUGAACGCUGGCGGCAUGCCUAAUACAUGCAAGUCGAACGAAGCUGAUUGGAAGCUUGCUUCUGAAAGGCUUAGUGGCGAACGGGUGAGUAACACGUAGGGAACCUGCCCAGAUCACGGGGAUAACGGUUGGAAACGACAGCUAAGACCGGAUAGGUGAUGACGAGGCAUCUUGUCAUCAUGAAAAGAGCUACGGCUCUGGAGCUGGAUGGACCUGCGGCGCAUUAGCUAGUUGGUGAGGUAACGGCCCACCAAGGCGAUGAUGCGUAGCCGGCCUGAGAGGGCGAACGGCCACAUUGGGACUGAGACACGGCCCAA